CCUACGGGUGGCAGCAGUCGAGAAUCAUUCACAAUGGGGGAAACCCUGAUGGUGCGACGCCGCGUGGGGGAAUGAAGGUCUUCGGAUUGUAAACCCCUGUCAUGUGGGAGCAAAUUAAAAAGAUCGUACCACAAGAGGAAGAGACGGCUAACUCUGUGCCAGCAGCCGCGGUAAUACAGAGGUCUCAAGCGUUGUUCGGAAUCACUGGGCGUAAAGCGUGCGUAGGCUGUUUCGUAAGUCGUGUGUGAAAGGCGCGGGCUCAACCCGCGGACGGCACAUGAUACUGCGAGACUAGAGUAGUGGAGGGGGAACCGGAAUUCUCGGUGUAGCAGUGAAAUGCGUAGAUAUCGAGAGGAACACUCGUGGCGAAGGCGGGUUCCUGGACAUUAACUGACGCUGAGGCACGAAGGCCAGGGGAGCGAAAGGGAUUAGAUACCCGAGUAGUC
rnacentral:rRNA from 1 species